rnacentral:tRNA from 1 species
GCCGGAGUGGCGGAAUGGCAGACGCGCUAGACUCAAAAUCUGGUGUACCUUGCGUACGUGAGGGUUCAAGUCCCUCCUCCGGCACCA